AAACUGGACAACUAAAAUGGGGAUAAUAUUUUCGUAAAUAUAUAUUAUUGUGGAAUGCUUGUAUUAAUAUAAUAAGCUAUACAGCAAAAAUUAUAACAAACCGACGAAAUGGGCUUGAAUCUAUCUGUCUUACGGUAAAUUCAUUUUUACACAAAUUAGUUUAUGUAUCAAGAACUUAAAUUGAAGGAUAGAACCGUUUAGAAUUGUGAAUAUUUUAAUUGACUAUAAAUACACGAAGGAUUUAGAUUUUUCAUAUUUAAUAAAGGGGGUCCAAACGUAUUUUUUUUACAAUCAUCUUCUUAACUUACGGAAAUGUUUUUUUAACUGUCUGUAAAUAUUAAAAUUGAAAUGACACAAUCUUGUUCUCCAAUUUCGUAUGUGAUAGCUGUCGGUUUAAACUAUUAUGAUCAAACUAACCAAAAAUAGGGAAAAUUGGACUAAAAUAAAAAUUGAACGAAUGACUCUUUUCGGCAGCGUACAUCAACGGAAUGUAACGAAUGGACUAUUCGGGUUACUUCGCACGUAUAAACGACAAA
rnacentral:lncRNA from 1 species